CUGGUGUGAAUUAAUGUCCUGAAGUGCUGUGGGCCCUCUGAAGUAUAUUUGGAGACUUUUUCUGCCCUGAGCCUCUGUGCAGCUGGGAACAACAGGGAGGUCUUGAUUGGCAAAUCCAAACAUUGCUCAUUGGGAGAGAAGAACUAGCCGACAGUUUGGGAAGAGGAGCUAGAAGGAGGAGGGCAAAGAAUGUUCAUAAAAUUCCAAUUCCUGGGAGACAAACUUGCUGUUACAGAAGAACCAGGAGAGGAUUCUGAGGACCCCAAAGAAGUUGCUGCCUCCCCAAAUCAUGGUGUGAAAAGCUGUCUGCCAAUCAUCCAACUGACUGUGAUAACACAUAUUUGGACCUCUUGGACAUGUCAACCAGAAGUCACAUAACAGAAGAGCUUUAGAAGCCACAGGAUUUAGAGACCAAGGAGCAGAAGGGGCCACUAGAACAGAAAAUCGAUAAGAAGCAGUAAGAGCUCAGAGAAAGACUUUGUCAACGACUUCGAAUCCUCUGGAAAGUCAAGUAAAAUAGAAGUGGACACGUGUCCUUUCAGCAAAGCAAUGCUGUGGUCU